rnacentral:lncRNA from 1 species
CUAAGCCAUAAGGACUGCAACUCUUAGGUGAGUCCAGUGCUGAAUAAGUCCCAGAAAACUCCUUCCUUCUGCUGGAGGAAUGGAAAGAAACAGUAAGGAAGACUUUGUCUUUGCAUAUCAGCUGAGCCACAAGAGGAUAAGGCACCAAACAGAGUUGUGAGGCCCCCGUUCCGGGCCACUGCUCCUAGACAACAUUUCUAGACAUAGGCUGGGCCAGAAGGGAAACCUCUGCAUUGAAGGAAAGAAUUCAUUCCUCAGAGCAUUCAUCACCUGUUAAUUUAGGUGCCAGCACAGCCACAGCAUGGUAGAGCAGCAAGUGGGCUCUUGGCAUCCCAAAUUGCAGGACUUAGUUCUUGAACAGCAUUUCUGGACCUACCAUGGGCCAUAAGGGAGCCCACUGCCCUGAAGAGUGAGUCCCAGGCCAGGCAGCCUUUACUACAAGCUGAUUUAAGAGCCCUUCAGCUUUAAGAGAACACUGGUUGGUAGUCUGGCAACCAGUGGGUAGGGGUCACUAUGGGGUGUGGCUCCUCUGCCUUUGGAAAGAGGGGAGAAAAGUGGGAAGGACUUCAUCUUGUGGUUUGAACCUCAGCUCAACUGCAAUAUAAUAGAGCACCAGGUAGCCAUCUAAUGUUUUUGACUCUAAUCCCUGACUUCUGGACACCACCUCUGUAUCCACCCAGGGCCUGGGGGAUCUCACUGCCCUGAUGGGAAGGACACAGGCCUCGCUGGCUUUGCUACCUGCUGAUUGCAGAUCUCCAGGGCCUUGAGCAAACAUAGGCAGUAGCCAAGAAGUGAUUACAGCAGGCCUUGGGCAAGAUGCAGUGCUGUGUGGGCCUCAGGCCUGAUCUAGUGCAGUCAUAAUGGUGGUGGCCACAGGAGUGCUUAUGUCACUCCACCCCGUUUUAGGUGGCUCAGACCAGAGAGAGAGAUUUUUUUUUUUUCAAGAAAUUAAGGGAAGAAAACAGAGCUGUCUCUGCCUGGCAAUCCAAAGAAUUUCCUGUAUCAUGUCCAAGACCACUGAGGCAGUACU